CUAUCAUGCAGUCGAGCGAAAGAAGGGAGCUUGCUCCCGGAUGUUAGCGGCGGACGGGUGAGUAACACGUGGGUAACCUGCCUGUAAGACUGGGAUAACUCCGGGAAACCGGAGCUAAUACCGGAUAGUUCCUUGAACCGCAUGGUUCAAGGAUGAAAGACGGUUUCGGCUGUCACUUACAGAUGGACCCGCGGCGCAUUAGCUAGUUGGUGGGGUAAUGGCUCACCAAGGCGACGAUGCGUAGCCGACCUGAGAGGGUGAUCGGCCACACUGGGACUGAGACACGGCCCAGACUCCUACGGGAGGCAGCAGUAGGGAAUCUUCCGCAAUGGACGAAAGUCUGACGGAGCAACGCCGCGUGAGUGAUGAAGGUUUUCGGAUCGUAAAGCUCUGUUGUUAGGGAAGAACAAGUGCGAGAGUAACUGCUCGCACCUUGACGGUACCUAACCAGAAAGCCACGGCUAACUACGUGCCAGCAGCCGCGGUAAUACGUAGGUGGCAAGCGUUGUCCGGAAUUAUUGGGCGUAAAGGGCUCGCAGGCGGUUUCUUAAGUCUGAUGUGAAAGCCCCCGGCUCAACCGGGGAGGGUCAUUGGAAACUGGGAAACUUGAGUGCAGAAGAGGAGAGUGGAAUUCCACGUGUAGCGGUGAAAUGCGUAGAGAUGUGGAGGAACACCAGUGGCGAAGGCGACUCUCUGGUCUGUAACUGACGCUGAGGAGCGAAAGCGUGGGGAGCGAACAGGAUUAGAUACCCUGGUAGUCCACGCCGUAAACGAUGAGUGCUAAGUGUUAGGGGGUUUCCGCCCCUUAGUGCUGCAGCUAACGCAUUAAGCACUCCGCCUGG
rnacentral:rRNA from 1 species